CCUACGGGAGGCAGCAGUGAGGAAUAUUGGUCAAUGGGCGGAAGCCUGAACCAGCCAAGUCGCGUGAGGGAAUAAGGCCCUACGGGUCGUAAACCUCUUUUGCCGGGGAGCAAGAGCGGGUACGUGUCCCAGCCCGGAGAGUCCCCGUAGAAAAAGCAUCGGCUAACUCCGUGCCAGCAGCCACGGUAAUACGGAGGAUGCGAGCGUUCUCCGGUUUUAUUGGGUUAAAAGGGUGCGUAGGCGGGCUUUUAAGUCAGCGGUAAAAAUUCGGGGCUCAACCCCGUCCGGCCGUUGAAACUGGGGGCCUUGAGUGGGCGAGAAGAAGGCGGAAUGCGUGGUGUAGCGGUGAAAUGCAUAGAUAUCACGCAGAACCCCGAUUGCGAAGGCAGCCCUCCGGGGCGCGACUGACGCUGAGGCACGAAAGUGCGGGGAUCGAACAGGAUUAGAUACCCUGGUAGUC
rnacentral:rRNA from 1 species